AUGGCUAGUAAUUGGAGUUUCAGACAAUUUGGGGAGGUAAUUUGUAGCCAAUAUCCUUGGGGUUUGUUUGAUGAAGUGGUAUACAAAUACUAUGAUGGGGAAAAGAAAUGGGUGACAGUUAGUAAUGAUGAAGAGCUAGCUACCAUGUUUGUUAGGCAUAAAGAGAAAGAUAAUUUUCAUGUGAGGCUGCAAGUUGAUGUGCUUGAGCAGGCAUUUGGACCUAGGAUGACGGGUGCAACAUCUCGGGGAGAACCAAGUCGUCGUAAUGGCAUCUCUAGACAGAACAGUUCAGUUGGUGCACGGAGACGUGGUGGCUCGACAAGUGUGGGAAACAGCAGUAGGGUCCCCCUUGAAGUGGAGCCUGAUGACUACAAUUCUGGGGUUGAUGAAGAUAAGCUAUAUUCUGAUAUUAUUCAGAAUUUACGACGGGCACCUCGGGCUGAAAACCAAGAUGAGGCUCACAAUGCAGUCCGUGUGGAUGAUGACGCGGUGGGUGAGGACGAAGACCUUGCAGCUGUUGAAUGGGAUCCUUUGAACCCUCAUAUGGAAGAAGGUACAGUUUUUGCAUCCAUGAAUGAGUGUAGAAAUGCACUUGUGACAUACUGCAUCAAGGUAGAACGUACUUUCAAAGUUGACAACAGCGAUCAAGUACGUUACAGAGUGCACUGUUCGACUGAGGGUUGUACAUGGAGGCUGCUCGCAUCUAAAAUGCGAAAUAGAACUGAUGUUCAGGUCAAAGCGAACCCUUUUAAGCACACAUGCCAGGAAUCAACCCUUAGGAAGGAUACAAUCAGUAGAGCCAAGUCAAGAUGGGUGGCAGAAUAA
rnacentral:rRNA from 1 species